rnacentral:rRNA from 1 species
GACGAACGCUGGCGGCGUGCUUAACACAUGCAAGUCGAGCGGUAAGGCCCUUUCGGGGGUACACGAGCGGCGAACGGGUGAGUAACACGUGGGUGACCUGCCCUCAGCUCUGGGAUAAGCCUGGGAAACCGGGUCUAAUACUGGAUAUGACUCCAUGACGCAUGUUGUGGGGUGGAAAGCCUUGUGCGGCUGAGGAUGGGCCCGCGGCCUAUCAGCUUGUUGGNGGGGUGAUGGCCUACCAAGGCGACGACGGGUAGCCGGCCUGAGAGGGCGACCGGCCACACUGGGACUGAGACACGGCCCAGACUCCUACGGGAGGCAGCAGUGGGGAAUCUUGCGCAAUGGGCGAAAGCCUGACGCAGCGACGCCGCGUGA